GAUGAACGCUGGCGGCGUGCCUAAUACAUGCAAGUCGAGCGAACAGACGAGAAGCUUGCUUUUCUGAUGUUAGCGGCGGACGGGUGAGUAACACGUGGAUAACCUACCUAUAAGACUGGGAUAACUUCGGGAAACCGGAGCUAAUACCGGAUAAUAUUUUGAACCGCAUGGUUCAAAAGUGAAAGACGGUCUUGCUGUCACUUAUAGAUGGAUCCGCGCUGCAUUAGCUAGUUGGUAAGGUAACGGCUUACCAAGGCAACGAUGCAUAGCCGACCUGAGAGGGUGAUCGGCCACACUGGAACUGAGACACGGUCCAGACUCCUACGGGAGGCAGCAGUAGGGAAUCUUCCGCAAUGGGCGAAAGCCUGACGGAGCAACGCCGCGUGAGUGAUGAAGGUCUUCGGAUCGUAAAACUCUGUUAUUAGGGAAGAACAUAUGUGUAAGUAACUGUGCACAUCUUGACGGUACCUAAUCAGAAAGCCACGGCUAACUACG
rnacentral:rRNA from 1 species